UAGCCAGUGGGUUUACAAGCUUGAGUCCAGUAGCUCUUGGGGAAGCAGCAGCUCUGGGCUCUGUUAGCUUUGUCUUUGCAUAUGGGGGAGCUGCCUAAGGCUGGCUUCCGAGUUCUUGGUGCUGUGGCCAGGAAGGUGAAUGGAGGCCUGGAGGGAACACAGUUUGGGAAGCACAGUCCACACAUGUGAUUCCCUGCAAAGUGGAGAGGAGCUGGCCUCCCUGAAGGGCAGGCUGUCGGGACAGACGGCCAUCAGCGUCAGCAGGCAAGGCUGGUGCUUUGACACCUGAAGGUUUUCCUGCAGAGCACACCAGAGCUGCCCCUUCCUGCAGUUGGAGACACACUGGGAGCCUCUUCUGUCUCAGCCCACGCACCGCAGCGCUCGCUCUGCCUGGAUGUUGAUGGAGCAGUGGAGAAGAAUUGGAGGUGAACCUCCCCCAAACUCCUAUUAACGCAGUCGCAGACUCAGCAGGAGUCAGCGAGGGUCCCCUCCACUCACCUGGGGCUGUGCUGGUGCUUGUGUAAUGCCCAGGGGGUGACCCUGGGGAGGCUGGGUUUCAUCGCUAUAUAUAAAACACCACUGCUCAGAGGAGGAAUGAAGUUCAAAGAAAAGGAGGUGUAGUGGGUGUUUGUAUCUCCCCAUAUUUAUAGGUUGAGACACCAAGCCCUGGUGCCUCAGGAUGUGGUUGUAUCUGGGUCUUUGAAGAGACGGUGGUGGUGCCCGAUUCUAUGUGAUCCCAUGGACUGUAGCCCGCCAGUCACUCUGUCCGUGGGAUUUCUUAGGCAAGAAUAUUGGUGGGUUACUGUUUCCUUUUCCACUUUAAAGAGAUAAUUAAGAUAAAAUAAUUAAGGGUGGGUCUUAAUUUAAUAGGACCUGACCACCGGCCCCAGAGGCACUCCCAGGGGAGCUGGGUUGAAAGGGUAUUCAGUAGGUGCCAAUCACGCCCCAGUGCAUUUUCUCCUGAUGGGACUCCGGACCAGGCGGGACUCCGGUGGCCAAGACUCAGGUGUGGCAGUGGGGGUGGUCCCAGGGCAGCAUCUACACGGCAUUCAAUCUGAGCUCACGCAUUGCAUAGGGGCCUGCAGGGGAGCUGCGGGUGAGGGUCUUCUCUGAGGAUCUGAGCCUCCAGAGCCCACAAAGCCGCUCCCACUAAACCACCCUGAUUUUCGCUUGGCCUGUGGCCAGUGGGGACCUGAGUCUGGUGGGAGACAUGGCAUCACCCUGGGUGAGGUUCUCAUCCUUCUCUGGGCAGACAAGCCUGGGCCCCAUGGGUGACCGAGUGUGGGGUUACAUCCACUUCUCAGAAGAACAAACACCGUCCGGGAAAUGGGGAGCUUGAGCCUUUGACCCACAGCAGUUAUUCCGUGCCCCUGUGGCCAGUGACCUCCUCAAGGACCUGUUGUGUCCCCAAGGAGGGCGGCAGCCCCUCCCAGCUGCGGUGGCCUGGGAGCAGACCCAUGUGCGGUGCAGCCCGUCUGCUGUCAUCCCCAAGGCGGCCCUGCCUCCGUGGCCUGUUAGCUCCGCUGACAGAGCUGUAACAGUGACAGUAGAUUAAUAUCUCUUUAAUCAGCCAAAAUGAACAUGGCACGCUGGUGACAGUCCAAUUUUCUGCUAACAGAUUGUAGCCCAUCUAAACCCAGCGCUCAGCUGAUUUUUAUUUCUGCCGGAGAUAAGUCAGUGCGGGAGGACCAGCCAGCGCCAUCCCAGCUGCCGCCUCGCUGAUCAAUAAAUCUCGCCACUGCGACGUUUCUCACCCACCUGUCAGGCGCCCGCAGCCUGGGGGACAGAAUGCGGAGCGGUGGCAUUUAGAGGCUGUGGCGGAGCUGGGAGGCAUGCCUUCAAGCUGGGUCCACGUGUCUCUUCCCUCGCUGGGAGACGCUGCUGAACGUCCUGGAGGUCAUGGGAGAGCGAGGGCAGGAGCUAUCAGAGUGCAGGCCCACGGGUGCACACAUGUGGGGUCCCAACUUGGCCUCGGCUUCGUAUAACUCUCUGGCUGCCCCUCCCCAGCCAUGGGAAGUCGCUUCUCUUUUCAUCUUCUCUGGGGGCUUGCAGAGAGUAACUCUCGUCCCACUGCUCCGCUAGAGGUGUCCAGUGGUGUGGGAGGGUGUGCUAGGCUGAGGCCAGGGGCCCUGGAGCCUCCUGUCUGGUGAUGAGCCAUCAGGGGCUUCAGGGUAGCUCCUCCCAGGGGAUAUUUUUCAUUCCGAGGAUAGAGGUCUUCCCUAAGUGUGACCGUGUCACUGGCAGGGCCCUUUAUACCCACUGGCUGUUCUUUAAAGAGUACACGCAGCCUGCUGGCAGCCCUUCCUCGGAGGACCCAUCUCGGAGGCUGCACUCCUGCCCACUUUGCCUUGAGACCAAGCCCCAGACAGUCUGUGGGUUGUGAAUUUCAUUCCAGCAGCCAGGACCCCAUGCUUUGACCAUCCCCAUGUCCAUGUCUUAAUGACACGCUUACUCUGCAGCUCCAAAUGUGGGAAGGGAGGGGAUCUCCUGGAGGCCAGAUCCAGGCCUGAGUCAUGAAGAGCCCUUGUAGGGCCCUGGCACCACUUGGGGCCCAGUGAACUUCCCUCUCGGAUCCUUGCCAUUACCAUAAAAUCUUUAUCUUAAAAAAAAAAAAAAUUGAGCAUGAGAAGCAAUAAUUAGAUGUCAGGCUUGUAGUGUUUCCCCGUGAGCUGAAGCAGGGAGACAGCACCUGCAGGCGGCUGCAAAUGGGAGGCGGGACACACCUCCGUCGGGUCCCGGCUCCAUCUUCAUCCUCCAUCCUCCAUCCUCUGAGCAGCGCUGGUCCUGCCUGCUGCCCGCACUGGCACCUCUGCUCGCCUUGCAGCUUUGUCCCAUUCCUCCAGGGACCUCUGCUGACCUGGUUGACUGGCAAAGGGGAGAUGGAGUGCUGGCAGGGGCUGCUUGCCUCCUGGGAUGCCAUUCCCGGGUGGUUUCAUUCACUCAAUCAGCAAACAUUCCCUGAGUCCUCCUGGCCUUGAUGUCUUCAACCAGCUCACUGUCCAGGAUGUGUUCAUGGCACAGAUAAAGUGACCUCCCAGGCUCUGUCCUGUGCAGGGCUGCACCAUUAGGGUAGGGAAGGCCAUCACGGUUUCUUCCCCUGUCUGGGCAGACAUCACUAAUCGAACGUGGCACUACUUUUCCUUGUGGAGCAAUGCUGCUCCCUGCCCUUGGGUGAAUCCUUUUCCAGGUGGAUGUGGUUGGAUCUUACUAGAGAACCUGGCCUGUGCUGUGUCCUUUCCACCUAGCUGGGCCCCCUUCCUUUGCAAGCCCAGAGCUUCAGGGCCCGGCUCUGUGCUCUGUGCCCAGAAGGCUGUGGGUCCACCUGGCAGGCACAUUGCUCAGUCAAACCCGAACAUCAGGGGGCACUUGCACUGUGCCUGUGGCGUCUACUUGCUGGGUUAUGGCAGUGCCUGCACCUAGUAGACCUCACCAUGGCCCUCCCACUGCCCCUCCAGGCCGUUAACUCUCACCCCAGAUGGGUUAUAGGCCUUGCUGGAGUCACUCAGCUUGUAUCUGUGACCAUGAGCCAUGCUCUGUUUUGAGGACAUGCCUACCUUUGAAGAGCUGAAGGUGGGGGACAAGUGACCCCAUGAUAGCCUCUCUGGCCACUUCCUCCUCUGAGAUCUGGAGAGAGGAGAGCGCCCCUGAUCACACCUUCAUGGCCACCAUGGGAACAGAAUUGGCUUUGCCCAUGGGGCCAGUCUGAUGGCAGCCAGGCCCCAUCAGGGGGCUCCCAGGAUGGAAGAACUUGGCCAGGGCCUGCUGGGGUGGGUCAAGCGACAGGAAGAGGGGAAGGCCCCCAGCCUCUGGCACUCUGGCUCCAGAGCCAGCUCUUGGGGAUAUCUCUGUGACCUGGCCCCCAGUCUCUCAGGACCACUGCCCACCUGGGAAAGGCAAAGGCCCUCAGGGGCUCCGACUGGGGGCUGCAGUGUCCUGGCAGGGGCCAGACUUGGUGGGGUUUAAUACGGGCUGCAUAGGACCUGGCUGCUUCUGACCUGGAGGGCAAGGGUGAAGAGAGGUGCCUGAGCAAGAAGAAGAGGGGUCUGGACAACCAUGAGAGGAGUGGGGGCCUGGGGGUGGGGCAAGCCCAGCCAGGGGAAGCUGACAGCCCGUGUGUUUCCCCUAUGUGUUCCUCUGACAUCACCUCCAUGGGCGCUUACUGGAUGGAACCUUCUGGAAGUCAGAGGAUGCAGGUGACAUGGCUGCUGUCCAUACCAGGGCAUGGAGCAAGGAGGCAGAGCACAGGCCCGAAGGGCAGACGGGCAGAGGUGCCCACGCUGUCUGCUUCCUCUGAUGGCCGGUGGGCACCCCACAUGGUUCUAGGCCUUUCUGCCUGUGCUGGGAGUACCACGUUCCACCUGCCCCCAGCAGUGUCUCCCCAGGAAGCCUGACCAGCCCCAGCCCUGCCUUGCCUUUGCUGCCCCCUCUGCUGCCCGAGGAGCUUUCUCUGAGGGCAUCUUGCUGUCUGCUCCAGGACACCUGGGCCAUCUGCCUCCUUGGCCAGCAUUGCUGUCACGCUACACGCAUCCACUGGGCUCUGCUGGGAAGCUUCCUGAGCCGAUUGAUUCCAGCAUCAAAGGCCCCUUCCCCGGGGGCCAGUGGCUCUGGAGGCCCCAAGAGCAGCUGGACAGUGAGGAUCCUGCCUGAAGAUUUAUUCUGAAAACAAGGUGACGAGUCCAGUGGAGAGCCUGGGCUGUCAGCCGUGAUUCCCGACAAGGCUGGGACCCUGCCUGCAGCUGUGCUGACAGCUGGCUUGGCUUGCAAGAGCCUCCGGAGAUCCCUAGAGGGAGGCAGAAACUACUUCUCCAGAAAAUCUCCCAAGAAGGACGGAGACACAGGCCCAGACACUCAUCCCCACGAGGGAGGACCCUGUGGCCUGCUCCUUCCCCUGGUAUGUGGGUGGGUGUGGGUAUGGGCAGCCCAUCCUGAGGCCAGACAAGUCCUCACAGGGCUGGGCAGUGCUGCUUGCUGCUGGGGGCCCUGGGUGCUUUCUAGCUCAGCCCUUACACGGGAAGUCCUUUUUAGGAGACCCCAGGCUGGGCAAGGCCGGGGAACAGCCUGGACCAGGUGGGACCCAGGCGGCCAAAUGACAUAAACUUGUCCCACUUCUCUGUCCCCAGAUACCUGCCUCAAAACCUGGGUGGGAAGUCAGCCCCUUCCCUGUGCAUCUCACUGGGUCUGUUCUAGUGUCUUCCCCAAGGCACUUAGAGAGUGGAUGGUAUGGGGUGAGAGGGACAAGGUCCCCAUGUACACACAUGCACACGGACACAGAAUGUGCACAUACAUGCGCACACAUGCAGAAAGUAUACACACUCAGAUGUGCGUGCAUACACACUUGUGCAUGGACAUACGUGAACACUGACACUACAUGCAUACACCCACAUGUACACAUAUGUGUAGAUGAGUGUGCACACUCACAUGCACACACAAAUGUGUACAUAAUCACACACACACACACGCUCACACUUGAACAUAUACUCAAAGGUGUACACACAUGCAUAGACACUCUUAGAGGGCUUACCCAGGACACAGGGCCUGGGGCCUCUCUGGCCCUCACAGGCCCAGGGGUAGGGGGCACGCCUGGUGAGCCAACCUUGAUGUGUUCACCGGUGUGAGAGGCUGCACUCUGCCUUUGCAUGUGAGAACCACAGCCCUACUCUGGGUGUGCACACAUGGCCCCAUCUGUGAUACUUAAGCAUCUGAUCUGAACAUAUGCUCAGGCCCCGGGGUGUGGGGCUGAGGCCAUGGCUACCUGGACUAGUGGGCAGCCAGCCAGGGUUCUCUGGGCCCAGCCACCAUGAAGACGGGCAGCAUCUCCCAGCCUCCAGCCCUGGUCUGGGGCCUCGUUCCCCAGGCGGGUCCUGACCCGGGGCCGCCUGCGUCUCCUGGCCCCAUCGUGGCUGACAGGGCUCUCUGGGCCGAGCCACUGUGGAGAUAGGCAGCAUCUCCCAGCCCCUGGGCCUGGUUGGGCCUCUUUCCCCAGGUGGGUCCUGACCCGGGGCCGCCUGCGUCUCCCUGGCCCCAUCGCGGCGACAGGCUGGCAUUUCCCGUCCUGUUUGCUCUUUCUCCUCCCUGUCGUGUCGACAAGCACAAUCAUGUUCCCUGACAGACGGAAAUAUCAGCCCUCGAGCAUGGGGACAAAGCAGGCUUUAAAGUUUAACGAGAGGCGUUAAUGGAAAUAAAAUGUAAAAGUCUCCUUCAAAUGUGGGGUUUCUGUUUUAUCAGAGAAAAAGUGCCCUAAAUAAUACAUAAACUAUGUGUGUUUUAGUUCUUUUACAUGCGUGAAUAUUUAAAACAUGCAAAAAUGUAGAAGACGCAUUUGCCAGGAACAAAAGGAAACACUUAUUU